GGCAGAUGGAUGAGGAGAGAGGCAACCGAGCCAAACACAUUGCUGUGCCAGAAGCAGAGAUCCACACAAACAUACUGACCGAUGCAAGCUAUGACAACAAGGAUCUCUGCAGAUCCGUUGAUGAAGCAGCUGUUCACUUCCAGUCAUUUCUUCCUCCACGACAGACCAGAUCUCCUCCAACUCUUUGAUGCUUACGUCUGAAGAGGACUAGUUUUAGGAAUUGUCAAUGUUCUUGUGCUAACGUAACAGAUUAUUAUCAUUUAUUGUUGUUUUGUGUUGAAACGGGACGUUUCAUUUGCAGAAGGAGGCGUCCGGAGCUCUGUUUACGUUCUCCUUUGGUUUCUGCGCAUGACAGAGACAUGAUGUAUGGUGGUGAAAGGGCUUCUGGGUAAAUGAAGGAAAGGCAAAAUAAAGUGAUGGUCCUGUCAA